AGCGAACGCUGGCGGCAGGCUUAACACAUGCAAGUCGAGCGGGCCCUUCAGGGUCAGCGGCAGACGGGUGAGUAACACGUGGGAACGUACCCUUUGGUUCGGAAUAACGCUGGGAAACUAGCGCUAAUACCGGAUACGCCCUUUUGGGGAAAGGCUUGCUGCCGAAGGAUCGGCCCGCGUCUGAUUAGCUAGUUGGUGGGGUAAUGGCCUACCAAGGCGACGAUCAGUAGCUGGUCUGAGAGGAUGAUCAGCCACACUGGGACUGAGACACGGCCCAGACUCCUACGGGAGGCAGCAGUGGGGAAUAUUGGACAAUGGGCGCAAGCCUGAUCCAGCCAUGCCGCGUGAGUGAUGAAGGCCUUAGGGUUGUAAAGCUCUUUUGUCCGGGACGAUAAUGACGGUACCGGAAGAAUAGGCCCCGGCUAACUUCGUG
rnacentral:rRNA from 1 species